rnacentral:rRNA from 1 species
UACGUAGGGUGCAAGCGUUGUCCGGAUUUAUUGGGCGUAAAGAGCGUGUAGGCGGCCAGGUAGGUCUGCUGUGAAAACUCGAGGCUUAACCUCGAGCUGUCGGCGGAAACCAUCUGGCUAGAGUCCGGAAGAGGAGAAUGGAAUUCCCGGUGUAGCGGUGAAAUGCGCAGAUAUCGGGAAGAACACCCGUGGCGAAAGCGGCUCUCUGGAACGGUACUGACGCUGAGACGCGAAAGCGUGGGGAGCGAACAGG